GACGAACGCUGGCGGCGCGCCUUACACAUGCAAGUCGAACGGUAACGCGGGGCAACCUGGCGACGAGUGGCGAACGGGUGAGUAAAGCAUCGGAACGUGCCCAGUAGUGGGGGAUAGCCCGGCGAAAGCCGGAUUAAAACCGCAUACGACCUACGGGUGAAAGCGGGGGAUCGCAAGACCUCGCGAUAUUGGAGCGGCCGAUGUCAGAUUAGGUAGUUGGUGGGGUAAAGGCCUACCAAGCCGACGAUCUGUAGCUGGUCUGAGAGGACGACCAGCCACACUGGGACUGAGACACGGCCCAGACUCCUACGGGAGGCAGCAGUGGGGAAUUUUGGACAAUGGGCGCAAGCCUGAUCCAGCCAUGCCGCGUGCGGGAAGAAGGCCUUCGGGUUGUAAACCGCUUUUGUCAGGGAAGAAAAGCUCUGGGCUAAUACCCCGGGGUCAUGACGGUACCUGAAGAAUAAGCACCGGCUAACUACGUGCCAGCAGCCGCCGUAAGAC
rnacentral:rRNA from 1 species